rnacentral:tRNA from 1 species
AGUGGUUAAGCGCUUGGCUGCUAACCAAAAGACCAAUGGUUCCAAUCCACUAGCCACUC